rnacentral:piRNA from 1 species
UAACUUUAGGCUUACUUAACGGCCUGUUG